UGAGUCGGCUGGGUGGCCGCGGCUCGGCAGUGACCGGGUCGAGGAAGGUCGGGGCUCCGCAGGGCAGGGUGCUGGCUAGCGGCCAGUCGAGGUGACUCGCAGGACAGUGCCACAGAGAACAGACCGCCGAUGGCCCGGGCGACCGGGCACAGGCAAGGGUGAAACGGUGCGGUAAGAGCGCACCAGCGCCCGGGGCGACCCGGGCGGCUCGGUAAACCCCACCCGGAGCAAGGCCAUACGUGGGCGUGGAUGGCCCGUCCGCCCGGAAGGGCACCCCACGGGUAGGCCGCACAGAUGGAUGGCCACCCAUCGGGAUCCCGGUAACGGACCCGUGGACAGAACCCCGCCUACAGGCCGACUCACCUU
rnacentral:RNase_P_RNA from 1 species